AGCUCGGCUUAGUGAUGCAGCAUCAGUAGCUUAUGCCCAGGUGUCUCACCAAGUUUGGGCCAUAAAUGAACCCAUUUGCUGCUGGGAUUUACGCGCUUGGCAUCAAAGUCCCAGCUGUUGAAAAAAUUGAAUAUAGAUGAUCAUGAUGACCUGCUUGUUGACAACAUCUACAUGGCUAAUGGAGGUGAUGCCAUUCCUCGGCCUGAUCCGCACAACCAAAUGUCAAUAUUUAGUAUUGUUUUUACUGCAUAUCUAUUUUGUUUAAUUGAACCUGCUGUACAGUCAAUGCUUUAGCAAAUGAUUUACCACAGCAUGUAAAUUUUGAGGU